rnacentral:lncRNA from 1 species
CGAAGUUAGUAGUAGUAAAAUUACUAACACAUGUAUAUUACACAGUAUGUAUGAAAAUAAAAAAAAAUACUUUAAAGAAAUUAGAAAAAAUUUAUUAAAAAUGAGUGAAACACAAAAUAUAAAAAAUCAAAACAGUGCGCAGUUUUUAUAUGAUUAUAUAUUAGAACAAAAUCAAUUAGAGAAUGUUACAUUUUUAAAAAACAUUUUUUUUAAUUAUGUUUUUUUAAACGCAUGUUAUAUACAAUAUUUUGAUAUAUAUAACAAUAAUGACAAUAACCAACAAUGUAAUAUAAAAAUUAAUUUCACUAGUACAAAACGAAUAGAAGUAAAUAAUAAUGAUGCAUUAUUUUUAUAUCAUAAAUCGAAAGCACAAGUAAAAGUGUCAUUAUGUAUACAAUCUUUGUUGGAUGUACUGAAUAAACAUGUGAAUAAAAAUUAUUAUGGGAUAAGUAAUUGCGCUGCUAAUUUUUUAUAUAUGCAUAAGGAAAAUAAUAAUAAAGAACAUAGCAAGUUGAAUGUUAAUGAUGGUGUUACUACACUUGAUGGAAAGCACAACCUGCGCAUGGGUAAUGGCAUAACACCCAACGACGACGACGAACUAAUCCUUCAAGAAACCUAUACCGAAAAUAUAGCUCUAAAAAUAAAUAACACGUAUGAUGAUAACAUAAUUGUUCAUGUGAACUUACUUUUGUUAAACGUUUUUAUUAACACAAAUAUUUUAUAUUUUCAAUUUGAUAAUCUGAAUGUAAAUAUGUUUUGCAAAGAAAAGUUAAUCCUAUACAACCCAUUUAACUGCGACGUGCAUAUAAGAGGUGAAUGCGAUCAAAACGUGAUCGAGAUGCCAACGGAUAUAAUCGUCGACCCACAUGAAUAUAAAAUAGUGCCCGUUAAUUUUAUUGCACCUAGGAAUACAGUUCCAUCAGAACUAAGUAUUCGCAUAUACUUGGACGACAUCAGGCUGUACAAAAGGUUACACUACACUAGUUUAUAUGUGCAUGUGCAUGUGUAUGUGCGUGUUAGUAUAAAUAUUUAUUAA